ACUCAAAGGAAUUGACGGGGGCCCGCACAAGCGGAGGAACAUGUGGUUUAAUUCGAUGAUACGCGAGGAACCUUACCCGGGCUUAAAUUAUGCAUGAAUCAUCUGGAGACAGAUGAGCCGCAAGGCAUGCAUGAAGGUGCUGCAUGGUUGUCGUCAGCUCGUGCCGUGAGGUGUCGGCUUAAGUGCCAUAACGAGCGCAACCCUUUCUGCCA
rnacentral:rRNA from 1 species